GACGAACGCUGGCGGCGUGCUUAACACAUGCAAGUCGAACGGAAAGGCCCUGCUUUUGUGGGGAGUUCGAGUGGCGAACGGGUGAGUAACACGUGAGUAACAUGCCCUUUACUUUGGGAUAAAUUCAGGAAACUCGGGCUAAUACCGGAUAUGAGCUCCUUCUGCAUGGUGGGGGAUGGAAAGUUUCGGCGUUUGGGGAUGGACUCGCGGCUGAUCAGCUUGUUGGUGGGGUAGUGGCUUACCAAGGCUUUGACGGGUAGCCGGCCUGGGAGGGUGACCGGCCACAUUGGGACUGAGAUGCGGGCAGGACUCCUUCGGGAGGCAGCGGUGAGAAAUAUAGCACGAUGGGCGGAAGCCGGAUGCAGGAACGCCGCGUGCGGGAUGACUGCCGUCAGGUUAGAAACCGCUUGCGCCUGGGACGAAGCGUGAGUGACGGUAAUGGGUAAAGAAGCACCGGCUAACUACGUG
rnacentral:rRNA from 1 species